GCCGGCGUGUUGGAACUGGCAGACGAGACGGACUCAAAAUCCGUUGGUGGCAACACCGUGCGGGUUCGAUCCCCGCCGCCGGCA
rnacentral:tRNA from 2 species